UACGUAGGUGGCAAGCGUUUGUCCGGAAUUAUUGGGCGUAAAGCGCGCGCAGGCGGUCCUUUAAGUCUGAUGUGAAAGCCCACGGCUCAACCGUGGAAGGUCAUUGGAAACUGGAGGACUUGAGUACAGAAGAGGAAAGCGGAAUUCCACGUGUAGCGGUGAAAUGCGUAGAGAUGUGGAGGAACACCAGUGGCGAAGGCGGCUUUUUGGUCUGUAACUGACGCUGAGGCGCGAAAGCGUGGGGAGCAAACAGG
rnacentral:rRNA from 1 species